rnacentral:tRNA from 2 species
GCGUCCGUAGCUCAGCAGGAUAGAGCGUCCGCCUCCUAAGCGGAAGGCCAGCGGUUCGAAUCCGCUCGGGCGUACCA